CGGGACACGUGGUAUCCUGUCUGAAUAUGGGGGGACCAUCCUCCAAGGCUAAAUACUCCUGACUGACCGAUAGUGAACCAGUACCGUGAGGGAAAGGCGAAAAGAACCCCGGCGAGGGGAGUGAAAAAGAACCUGAAACCGUGUACGUACAAGCAGUGGGAGCACGCUUAGGCGUGUGACUGCGUACCUUUUGUAUAAUGGGUCAGCGACUUAUAUUCUGUAGCAAGGUUAACCGAAUAGGGGAGCCGAAGGGAAACCGAGUCUUAACUGGGCGUUAAGUUGCAGGGUAUAGACCCGAAACCCGGUGAUCUAGCCAUGGGCAGGUUGAAGGUUGGGUAACACUAACUGGAGGACCGAACCGACUAAUGUUGAAAAAUUAGCGGAUGACUUGUGGCUGGGGGUGAAAGGCCAAUCAAACCGGGAGAUAGCUGGUUCUCCCCGAAAGCUAUUUAGGUAGCGCCUCGUGAAUUCAUCUCCGGGGGUAGAGCACUGUUUCGGCAAGGGGGUCAUCCCGACUUACCAACCCGAUGCAAACUGCGAAUACCGGAGAAUGUUAUCACGGGAGACACACGGCGGGUGCUAACGUCCGUCGUGAAGAGGGAAACAACCCAGACCGCCAGCUAAGGUCCCAAAGUCAUGGUUAAGUGGGAAACGAUGUGGGAAGGCCCAGACAGCCAGGAUGUUGGCUUAGAAGCAGCCAUCAUUUAAAGAAAGCGUAAUAGCUCACUGGUCGAGUCGGCCUGCGCGGAAGAUGUAACGGGGCUAAACCAUGCACCGAAGCUGCGGCAGCGACGCUUAUGCGUUGUUGGGUAGGGGAGCGUUCUGUAAGCCUGUGAAGGUGUGCUGUGAGGCAUGCUGGAGGUAUCAGAAGUGCGAAUGCUGACAUAAGUAACGAUAAAGCGGGUGAAAAGCCCGCUCGCCGGAAGACCAAGGGUUCCUGUCCAACGUUAAUCGGGGCAGGGUGAGUCGACCCCUAAGGCGAGGCCGAAAGGCGUAGUCGAUGGGAAACAGGUUAAUAUUCCUGUACUUGGUGUUACUGCGAAGGGGGGACGGAGAAGGCUAUGUUGGCCGGGCGACGGUUGUCCCGGUUUAAGCGUGUAGGCUGGUUUUCCAGGCAAAUCCGGAAAAUCAAGGCUGAGGCGUGAUGACGAGGCACUACGGUGCUGAAGCAACAAAUGCCCUGCUUCCAGGAAAAGCCUCUAAGCAUCAGGUAACAUCAAAUCGUACCCCAAACCGACACAGGUGGUCAGGUAGAGAAUACCAAGGCGCUUGAGAGAACUCGGGUGAAGGAACUAGGCAAAAUGGUGCCGUAACUUCGGGAGAAGGCACGCUGAUAUGUAGGUGAAGCGACUUGCUCGUGGAGCUGAAAUCAGUCGAAGAUACCAGCUGGCUGCAACUGUUUAUUAAAAACACAGCACUGUGCAAACACGAAAGUGGACGUAUACGGUGUGACGCCUGCCCGGUGCCGGAAGGUUAAUUGAUGGGGUCAGCGCAAGCGAAGCUCUUGAUCGAAGCCCCGGUAAACGGCGGCCGUAACUAUAACGGUCCUAAGGUAGCGAAAUUCCUUGUCGGGUAAGUUCCGACCUGCACGAAUGGCGUAAUGAUGGCCAGGCUGUCUCCACCCGAGACUCAGUGAAAUUGAACUCGCUGUGAAGAUGCAGUGUACCCGCGGCAAGACGGAAAGACCCCG
rnacentral:rRNA from 1 species